rnacentral:rRNA from 1 species
ACGGCUCAGUAACACGUGGCUAACCUGCCCUUGGGACGGGAACACCCCCGGGAAACUGGGGCUAAUUCUCGAUAGGUGAAGAACUCUGGAAUGAGUCUUCGCCCAAAAGCCAUUUGGAUCAUGCUUUCAGGUGGCGCCCAAGGAUGGGGCCGCGACCGAUCAGGUUGUUGGUGAGGUAAUGGCCCACCAAGCCUAUAACCGGUGCGGGCCGUGAGAGCGGGAGCCCGGAGAUGGGCACUGAGACAAGGGCCCAGGUCCUACGGGGCGCAGCAGUCGCGAAAACUUUGCAAUACACGAAAGUGUGACAGGGUCAUCCCGAGUGCCGACCGCUGAGGUUGGCUUUUACCCAGUCUAGAAAGCUGGGGGAAUAAGGAGAGGGCAAGUCUGGUGUCAGCCGCCGCGGUAAUACCAGCUCUCCGAGUGGUGUGGACGUUUAUUGGGCCUAAAGCAUCCGUAGCUGGCUGAUCAAGUCCCCUGUUAAACCCACCGAUUUAAUCGUUGGCGUGCGGGGGAUACUGCUCGGCUAGGGGACGAGAGAGGCAGACGGUAUUCCCGGGGUAGGGGUGAAAUCCUAUAAUCCCGAGAAGACCACCAGUGGCGAAGGCUGUCUGCUAGAACGCGCCCGACGGUGAGGGAUGAAAGCUGGGGGAGCGAACCGGAUUAGAUACCCGGGUAGUCCCAGCUGUAAACGAUGCAGACUAGGUGUUUGGACGGCCACGUGCCGUUCUAGUGCCGCAGGGAAGCUGUUAAGUCUGCCGCCUGGGGAGUACGAUCGCAAGAUUGAAACUUAAAGGAAUUGGCGGGGGAGCAC